GGGGCAGGAAGGGGGCGCGCGCGCGGCGACGCCGUCCCACGUGACUUCCGACUGGGCCUCCGCCCACCCUUCUCGCCCCGCCUUUCGCCGCUGGGAAAGAGGAAGGUGCCCCCCCACCCCUCCGAGAACCCCCACCCCAGUCCUCCAGUCCCAGAUCCCACCGGCCUGGAACCAGUUGUUGGAUCCGAGCGAACUCCGGAACCAGAUGGGUCCAUCUCUUCGGCCUAAAAAUGAGCGAACGACACAAAGAAGGCACUUACUAAGUGCUUGUUGACUUGAGAAGUUCAGCCCGUCCUCUACCAGCAACCAAACUCCUCUGCCUGUUAGAAGAGGUGGCUCCAGCAAGGAAAGAAGUGGAUCAGCAAGGGCCCAUUUCUUUGCAGAUUGUAAAUCAUGAAUGAAUGCCUUCAAUUAUUAUCAAAGAAUUUCUCCCAUAGAUUCAUUUAAAUUUCAUUUCUACUUUUUAACAAAUCAAGUUCAAUUAUGUUUCUAAUUCCAUGGGGUUUUAUUAAAUAUCUUCUAGAAACCUCUCUUCAUGUGAUAAUUAAGGAACAGAACCUUAAACUAGCCCAGGGUGGUCAUUUAUACAUGACUUAUAAAUAACUGUUGGAAUCCUUACAUAGUGUUAACUCAUUAGAAUUGAUAGAGACAAUAAUUAUCGAAUUUAGCAUGGUUCAGUAUGAUUGAUCUGAUCUUAUAAGGAGAUAUUAUGGGCCAGAACUUGAAACAAGGUGAUAACUCAAUGGAAUUGAUGGAAGCAAUUGCUUGGGUUUGCACCUUUAAGAAUUCACACAUUAGAGCUCACACCUUUGAGAGUUCACACAUUGGAGUUUACAAGUUCGGGAGUUUCACAAGUCAGAAACCCACAAUCCCACUCUCUCAGAGGAGGAGUCAAUCUUUGGGUUCACACUUUUAAGAGAUCAUAUAUAAGAAGCUCUUAGAACUUCAGUCAGUUGGUCAGUUCGGAAACCUGCCAGGAGUCGCAGUUGAGCUAGAAGCAAAAGAUUAGCAACGAGAGCUCGGAACCAAAGAAUACUCAAGUGAGUUCAGUUAAGGAGAUUGACAAUUUAGAGACUGCAAUCGGGCAGAACUGGGGAUUCCAGAGAGGCCUCUAAGAAAGCUAACCAGGCCCAAGGAAAGAGACAAGACUUGGAAGGAGAAAAUAAACGUUUGGAUUUUAUCAGCUGGCUGUAUUUGAAGUGAUUAUUACUUUGAACUGAAACUAAGGCUGCUUCCAGAAAACCUCCCCCAAGAAACCUGCUCCCAGAGAAUCAUUAUAUUUCAAAGAAGAGAACACCACAAAUAAUUAUUCUUCCUGAAUGCAGAUAGUUGUAAGAGGAAGAGUGGUUAACAUCUGAAGUUAACAAAAGUGUUUUACGUAUAUUACCUCAUUCAAUUCUGAUAACUUAAGUGAAGUAUAUGCUAUUUUAAUCCAUAUUUUACAGAUGAGUAAACUGAGGCUGUUAAGAGACUUGCCCUUAUUGCUAGAUGUCUAGCUGAGGACAUACUCCCUGUGAGGGAGAAAUAGAACAGUACAUGCCAGGGAGGACAAACUGACAGGCCAGGACCCUGAGUCCAAGAACCUUAGGAAUAGAAAUGAACUUCCAGGCUGGCCCUGGUCAGAAUCCAAGGAAACAACUCUUGUGAAGAUGUAACUUGGCAACCCUGCUGAGAACUAGGAAAAGAAAAUUCUCAAAGCUCUUGGUACUGGCAAAUGGUUCCUCAUCAAUAAUGAAGACAUUUUUAUUAAAGAAAAUGACUGCCUUCCUAAUGCCCAAGAGUAGGCAGCUCUUCAUGGAACUUGUACCUGAAAGUGCCCAAUGUGCUGUCCCCUUCUGGGUUAGGAUGUGAGCUCCCUGAAAGCUCAGGCUGCCUCAGCUUGUCUUUGUGUCCUCAGGGCUUUGCACAGAGUAAGUACUUAAUCUUUUUCCCUUCUCUUCAUUUUUCCUUCUUUCCUUUCUUCCAACCCUCCUUUCAAUAAGCACUCAAUCCACUAGUCCAAGCUGCCUCUCUUAACUGGUACUCUGAGAUUAUACAUAUAAAGGGAUGAGUUAAAUUUUUGGCACAACCUGUCACCUUUUUAUAGUCCUCUGUAUUUCUAUGUCACCCUUCUGACAGUAUCAGCCAUUUGUGUUAUUCAUUCAUUCACCUAAUAACUAUGUAUUCAUGCCUGCUAUCUGCCAGGCACAGUGCUAAAUGGGGUUACAAAAAAAGCCAAAAGACAAUCCCCCUAUCCUCAAGGAAGGAAUGUUCACUCUGAUCAUAUUCAACUCCUGAGCUUUGAGAUUAUUUUACUGAUGAUUAUACACAUAUAAAUCUAUAUCAGACUGCCAUCUGGAGAGGAGGGUAGGGCGAGGAGGGAGAAAAAGAUUUGGGACUCAAAAUUUAUAAAAGUAAUUGUAAUGACCUGGUCAGAUUGGCUAGAAUGACAGGGAAAGAUAAUGCAGAAUGUUGGAGGGGAUGUGGGAAAACAGGAACACUGAUACAUUGUUGGUGGAAUUGUGAACACAUCCAGCCAUUCUGGAGAGCAAUUUGGAACUAUGCUCAAAAAGGUAUCAAACUGUGCAUAUCCUUCGAUCCAGCAGUGUUUCUACUGGGCUUAUGCCCCAAAGAGAUUCUAAAGAAGGGAAAAGGACCUGUAUGUGCCAAUUUUUUGUGGCAGCCCUGUUUGUAGUGGCUAGAAGCUGGAAAAUGAAUGGAUGCCUAUCAAUUGGAGAAUGGUUGAGUAAAUUGUGGUAUAUGAACGUUAUGGAAUAUUAUUGUUCUGUAAGGAAUGACCAGCAGGAUGAAUACAGAGAGGAUUGGCGAGACUUAAAUGAACUGAUGCUAAGUGAAAUGAGCAAACCAGGAGAUCAUUAUAUAUCUCAACAAUGAUACCUGUUUGAGGAUGUAUUCUGAUGGAAGUGGAUCUCUUCGAUAAAGAGAGCUAAUUCAGUUUCAAUUGAUCAAGGAUGGACAGAAGCAGCUACAUCCAAAGAAAGCACACUGGGAAAUGAACAUAAACUGCUUGCAUUUUUGCUUUUCUUUCCAGGUUAUUUAUACCUUCUGAAUCCAAUUCUCCCUGUGCAACAAGAGAAUUGUUCGGUUCUGCACACAUAUAUUGUAUCUAGGAUAUACUGUAACUUAUUUAACAUGUAAAGGACUGCUUGCCAUUUGGAGGAGAGGGUGGAGGGAGGGAGGGGAAAAACCAGAACAGAAGUGAGUACAAGGGAUAAUGCUGUAAGAAAUUACCCUGGCAUGGGUUCUGUCAAUAAAAAGUUAUUAAAAAAAAAAAAAAGUAAUUGUAAUGACUAGAAAAAGGAAAAUAUUGCUAAAUAGAAUAAAAAUAUUUUACUGAUACUAAUCAACCCUUCCUCAAGGCCUAUAAUACAAAGCUGGGUUGAUGGUUUAGAAAGGGACACUCUCCAUUUAACAAAAUCAAUCUGCUGCUGUAGCAACAUUUUCCAUCAGAUAAUCUCUAUGAAUAAUGCCUGACUUGGAUUUUACUCAAAGAACACUUUUACAAUGCUAAAACAAAAUAAAAUGAUCAUACACGUGUUUAUGAAGAAACACGUGUUUAUGAAGAAACACGUGUUUAUUAGUGUAAUCCAAUUUUAAACAAGUGUCAUAAACAUAAGUAAAACUCAUGUUCCCCAGAGAAUACUUUCUUUUAUUAUUUAUGUAUAAGAUUAUACAUACUUAUUUUGAUGUACACUAGACAAAUCUAUUAAACCAAUUCUUAUCCUGAUUCAAAAAGAACAAAUGGUUCAUCUUCUAGCUCCAUAUCCAUUCAUAUGUUAGAAGUAGCUGGAUCUUUAAAAUAAAAGGAGAAGGGCUCUCUAUAACCUACUGUCAAGUGCUCAAUAGCAAAUUCUUUACUUAUGUAAGGCAAAUAUCUUCUUAAAUGGGAAAAUAUUAAGUUGAAGGCUUUCAAAUUUCACUCAAAAUUCCAAAGUUGUCCAAUAAAAAUGCAAGUUUCAGAAAUAAA